rnacentral:lncRNA from 1 species
UUGACUAGACUCUUGGUGUAGCACAAGAGAAUCUAUGCUGUUUCACUCGUAAGUCAUAUAACUGUCCUUUAGUCUUCAAGUCUGAGAUCCAUAUUACAGACUAGAUGUCGUAAUUACCAAAGUCAAGGGAUCAUGAACCUCACUUAUCAUAAACCAUAUUCCUAGGCUUUGCAUUGUCAUGAGUAAAGGACCCCUUGGUGGAAGUAGCUUGACAGGGAGCAAGAAACAGUACCUUUUGAGGGUACAGACACUCAGGUUCCAGACUUGGAGCUGCAGCUAACUCAGGGAAGUAAGUCAUCUCCCCAUCUUGGAGCUGCAGUUUUCCCAUCUGCAAAAUGAGAGAGUUGAACUAGAUGGUAUUGAAGAUGAUUUCUAGCUCUGUCAUUAUGCAAUCUUUACAGAAGUGGAAACAUCCAUAGACCUGGUCCACUUCAUUUCUAGGUCCUCCUAGAAUCUCCACAUUUGGAGGGACCUACUUACACUCUGUUUUGACCAUGCACAGACUGACCAAGGGCAUACAAGCUAUGCUUUAGGGAAUAAUGUCUUGGCAGACCACACAUGCAGAUCACUCUGCUACUGCCACAUAGUUUUUACAAAACAGUGCCUGUCUUGGCACAAUAGAAGAGUUCUUUCCAUAGAAAGUUAUUCUUGUGAGCUCUUUCAACAUAGAUCAUUGUGGGCUACCACCUUCCUGAGUCCACCUCUAACUACUCUUGGGUGGAGUGUAGAUUGAGGCAUUGCUGAGACACUUACCAGGGCCCUUAAGAAAACUUGCAUAUGGAGGCCAAGCAGACUUUCACCUUCUGUACUAUAGUCAUUCCUCCAGAAAUCUAGAUUGCUUUUAAGAUGCUCUAGUGUCUUAACAAAAUAUGACUUCCUGAGUGACAUCCAGAUCACUGCUUGGUCUCUUUCCUUCUACUAUAUUCAGAGUCCCACUUCGGGUACGUUAAGUUCAGAUGUUCUACUGAGCAAAUCCCAUACAACUACUUAUGUGUUUCUUCAACCUUGACCUUGAAUUCUAGGACUAUCCUGUUUGGCGUUUGAAAAGAACAGUGCAUAGCACAGUAAUAUAGUCAACAUAGUCCUUUGGUAAGUGAAGACAGAUUAUAUGUUUCUAGUCUUAAUAUUUCACACUAAGAAGAAGGGUUCAUGAAGUAUUA